CCUGACAGUAUCUCUGCAGCAUAAUUAUUUGGUGGUAAGCCUAUUUUCCUCGCCUUUUAUUUGGUUAAUCGUCCGUAUCUUCAACUGAUCUGAAGAUUUGUUUAUAGAAUCAUUUUUGGAAAAGAUCGCCUUUACUGAUCUGAAGAACACUUGACCUACAACGUUUUUACAUAGUCAGUGGAACUAAAUUGAAAGAAAUCCUAUAUAUUUUUUCUCUGUAUUUGCGUUUCAUUAGCAACUUUAUCUCUCAUUUUCCUUACCGGCGAAUCGUCGGUUUCGAGAUUGCUAGACACACGCCGACAUUAGCAGCUGGGUUUUGGGUUCCUCUUUUAGCUGUACUGACAAAGGUUUUAUUAGCAUAGAUCUAGGAAGUUAGCUCUCUAGAACAUUCGCCAUUGCCAAAAUAUUCGAAGCUCUCAACGGCCGGUAACUACUUCAGUGUCUGCAAGUAUACACACACAUACACUUCUUGCAUUUUACUUUUCUCAUAUUUGAAUUUGAACUGACUUACGUUGACUAAGAGGAGAAGGUUAACAUUAGCUAACAGGUCUUAUAGUAGCUAAACCCAAGUUCUUUUUCCCCUGAAAAUCGCUCUUGUUCUGUGAUUCUUAGGCUUCCAUUUCUUGUUUCUGUUCAAGAUUUUUCUGGGUUUUGCUUAUCAUUACAGUUCGCUUCUGUAAAAGGGAUCUGGUUUUCUGGAACCCAUAACAGCCACCCGCCGCUAUACGUUUUGAAAAGAGCAAUAUUUGUUCUCUGUUUCCGUUGAAAUUGAAAGAGAGCAACGUUUCUGCAGUGGUGCAUCUGUUUCAAUUGAAAAAGAGCAAUUGUUUUGCUCUGCUUCUUUGCUUACUAGUGGUAGCGGUGAUAGCUCCUUCUGGUUUUUGGGUCGUGGUAUUUUCUGUGUUUUUAGGAAUUCUCGGAGUAUUGGAGACAAGUUGGGCGCACGAGCACUGGCAAAGGAGAGCAACCUGAGCGAGUGUCAGCAAGGGUGGUAGGAAGUGGGCGGGAGCGUACAACUACAUCGAGCACAGCAAAUCAGCCACAGGUUUUGUUAUCGGGAGUUGGUACCUCCUGUUUUACUGUUUCCCUUUUGGUGUUAGCUAA
rnacentral:lncRNA from 1 species